rnacentral:rRNA from 1 species
GUGGGGAAUAUUGGACAAUGGGCGCAAGCCUGAUCCAGCCAUGCCGCGUGUGUGAAGAAGGUCUUCGGAUUGUAAAGCACUUUAAGUUGGGAGGAAGGGCAGUAAGUUAAUACCUUGCUGUUUUGACGUUACCGACAGAAUAAGCACCGGCUAACUUCGUGCCAGCAGCCGCGGUAAUACGAAGGGUGCAAGCGUUAAUCGGAAUUACUGGGCGUAAAGCGCGCGUAGGUGGUUUUGUAAGUUGGAGGUGAAAUCCCCGGGCUCAACCUGGGAACUGCCACCAAAACUGCAUGACUAGAGUACGGUAGAGGGUAGUGGAAUUUCCUGUGUAGCGGUGAAAUGCGUAGAUAUAGGAAGGAACACCAGUGGCGAAGGCGACUACCUGGACUGAUACUGACGCUGAGGCACGAAAGCGUGGGGAUCGAACAGGAUUAGAAACCCGUGUAGUCC